GGAACAUUCAGGGCCUAAACUCACCAACCUAUCAGUUAGCAUGUGGAACAUUCAGGGCCUAAACUCACCAACCUAUUAGUUAGCAUGUGGAACAUUCAGGGCCUAAACUCACCAACCUCUAGACUGAAGAGUUUAACACACAUCUUAAAGAUGUUGACGUCAUCAUUCUGCAGGAGACAUGGUGUAAAGCUGACGUUGUCACUCACUGUCCCACAGGCUACAGAGAGGUCAUCAUUCUGCAGGAGACAUGGUGUAAAGCUGACGUUGUCACUCACUGUCCCACAGGCUACAGAGAGGUCAUUGUGCCGUCAUUGUCCCACAGGCUACAGAGAGGUCAUUGUGCCGUCACUGUCCCACAGGCUACAGAGAGGUCAUUGUGCCGUCACUGUCCCACAGGCUACAGAGAGGUCAUUGUGCCGUCACUGUCCCACAGGCUACAGAGGUCAUUGUGCCGUCACUCUCCCACAGGCUACAGAGAGGUCAUUGUGCAUUGUCCAUCACAGAAACACAGCUCUGUCAGUAGAGGCAGAGACUCUGGAGGACUGAUACAAAUCCAAACUAAAAUAUCAUAUUUAGUUAUAACUGAAAAAAUAACUUGCACUGACAGAAAAAUGUGUUCCUUUGUGCUGUAUAUCCCCCCCUCAGAAUAUGAUCACAGACAUUGACCCUUUCUCUCUCAGCUCA
ensembl:lncRNA